rnacentral:lncRNA from 1 species
AGAGAACUAAUACUAAAAUGUAUAGAAGUAAUCAAUAGAUGUAUGUGCAAAAUAUGAUUAUAUAUUUUAGAAUGAUUGAAAUUAACUCAUUUGUUUUCUAAGUUAGAGUCAGAAUUUGAUAGAAGAUUUUGUAUAUAUACAACUGAAUUAAAAUUGACAGUGAAAUUUGAUAAAACCACAAAACUGUUAGUGAUGGUUUUGAAGAACGAUAGGAAGAUAUAAAUAUUAAGAGUGGGUGGAGUAAAAGAGUUAGAACAAGUUUCUGGAGUGGGAGAGUAGCCUAUGUAAGUGAUUUUGGCUAAUAGGCUUUAGAUUAAAAAAAGCUGAUGGCGAUAUUCUAGGAAUAGAUAUCAGGUAGAAAUGGAAUCUUAUAAAGCUUAGUGUAGGAUAGAAGUUUCACAAAAGUAGAACCAGAUAUAUUAUUUAACUAUUAUAGUUAAGGUGGCAUUAAAUUGGAUCAUGCUUUACUGGGAGCAGGUUGGCUCCAUUGGCUGUGUGACUCCAAUUUUCCUCUGGUUAUGCACGUUGAUCACUUCACCUUGAAACACA